AAAGGUUUCGACGGGGGUAAGACGUGUUUGAGAAGCGAGUCGAAGGUCCUGGACCUGCGUUAAAAAACUAGGAAUUAAAUAUAAACGCAAACGAAGAAAAUAAUUACGCUUUAGCAGCUUAGUCUGCUGGCCGUCAGCCCGGGAGUCCCACGACCCGGUGUCUGGCGUCAAUAGUGGGGCCCCGAGCCUAGGAAAGCUUUGACCUAGGAACGGAAUUUAUGAAGCUACUGAAGUCAGAAGCCCGUUUAUCGGCGUCUGAUGGAGGGAACAGGUCGGGGACAUCACCUUUAGGUGUGUCGCCUAACCAUAAAAGAUAAACUGCACUCGGAGAUGCUCAGGCAUUGCUGCUUUCGGACAGGGGUUCGAUUCA
rnacentral:tmRNA from 1 species